AGCCUUAAUAAAUCUGUUAUUCUGGAUAUCAUUAUGCUACUAACCAUUUUUUAAGUAUCUUUUUUCACACCAAAUUCUGAUAGAGAAGUGCAAUGAAACAUCCAACUAUAUGUUAAAAAUAUGCACCAAGUGCAAUCUCAGGUUAUGGUGUCUGUACUUCUUCUCAGGGAGAGGAGUUGGGGUUCCUCAGGAAGAAUUAGGACAUGAGGUUGGACAUGACCAAAGGCCCCGCUGGGCUAGGAUUUCAGAUGCUUGCUCUAAUUCGGUAUUUGCUGCUGGUUUAAGACUUGUGAUGGGGAAGAGAAGGAGGCAGCAGAAUUGCAGAUUGCUUAGGGUCCCCUAGGAAGAAGCUAAGUUCCGGUUCUGCAACCUAGCAUCUGAGUGGCUCUGAACAAGUUAUAUAAGCUCUCUGAGUCUUCAUUUGCUUAGCUGUGAAACAAGGAUGAGAACAUGUCAGAGUUCUUAGGAUGCUAGAUGGCACCUCAUCAGCCAGUUCUGGUCAAAAUAACUUUGGAUGAUGGUGGAACUCUUCCUUGUCUGCAUGGUUCUGCUAUGACAGCUUCUAGACGUGGGUGCCCCGCUGGAGCACUUGAAAUGUGGCUAGUGCAAACAAGAAACUGAGGCCAGCGCUGCAGAUCACUAGGCUAAUCCUUUGCCUGCGGCGUUGCACACCCGGUUCUAGUCCUGGUCGGGGCGCCGGAUUCUGUCCCAGUUGCCCCUCUUCCAGUCCAGCUCUCUGCUGUGGUCCGGGAGGGCAGUGGAGGAUGGCCCAAGUACUUGGGCCCUGCACCCCAUGGGAGACCAGGAGAAGCACUUGGCUCCUGACUUCAGAUCAGCGCGGUGUGCUGGCCGCAGCUGCCACUGUGGGGUGAACCAACGGUAAAGGAAGACCUUUCUCUCUGUCUCUCUCUCUCACUGUCCACUCUGCCUGUCAAAAAAAAAGGGGGGGGGGGACAAGAAACUGAGUUUUUAAUUAACUUAAUUUGAAUUCGUUUAAGUGGUGACAUGUAGCCAGAGGUUCCUAUCUUGUCCUGCACAAGUCUAGACCAAACGCCUCCAUCCCCAUGCAUUUGCUCUGCACAGACCUCAGAGCUUCAACACAACUCAGAAUCCAUGGAGGGACCUCGGAUCGACUGAGAUUGUUUCCCCAGCAAGCAACAUAAAAGCUUGCUAUCAAAAUGAAUUUGCUAUUGUAACACAACAUUUUUUUUUUCAUUCUUGGUUUGUGAAUCCUGUGUGGCACCUUAACAAUAGGGACCUGCUCCCUUGAAAGUGCCAGGAGGGUAAAUGGAUUAAACUUCUGGCUGUCUUCCUCUGCAUCUGACUCAGCCAGGAAGUCUGUGUGCAAGGCUGGAUGGCUGGGUGUUAACGAGGGGUAGCUCCUGGUGAUAACUGGGGGCCCCAUCAGCUCCUCCAUGCUGGGGGAGCCCUUUGCUCAGAGCCACCCCUGGUGCCCAAGUGAGCUCCAGCUCUUUGAUUUCCAUGGCGUCUUCUCUUUCUCUCUUUUAAUCUUUCCUACAUGGGCUCACCCCUGCAGACAGAUUUGAGGCAGAGAGUAAUUGUCCACCAUGAGUCACUCUUACAGGAAAGGGAGGAAGAUGAAGUAGCCAAACGAGAGGGGCAGAUGCACGUGUGUUUAUGUUUCUGAGUUCUCCACGGUUUGAUUAAAAUGGUUGUUCUCCUGGCUGUCACCACUGAGUGUGCUUCUCUGUAACGAGGUGCAUUAGAGCAGGCAGAAUAAUGGCCUCAGCUCUCCCAGGCCUGGCAGUCCCUAUGACCCGAGACUUGGCAAAUGCUUCCCCUUUCAUCAGUCAGUGUUCCUGGGGCCGCUCUUCUUCCAGGAAGUCCUCCUCAAGCAGAGGAGAAAGCAACAGCAGCAGCCCCUAGCCCUUUGCUAACCAGUCCCAACCCCCAGCCUCUGUUUGUGUUUGUGGUAGAUAAUAGCAAUUAAUUCUUUUAUCUACCGAAUAAAUUAGGUCCUUGUGUCUGUGUACA
ensembl:lncRNA